rnacentral:misc_RNA from 1 species
GAUGAAGAACGUAGCGAAAUGCGAUAAGUAAUGUGAAUUGCAGAAUUCAGUGAAUCAUCGAAUCUUUGAACGCACAUUGCGCCCGCCAGUAUUCUGGCGGGCACGCCUGUCUGAGCGUCAUUUCAACCCUCAUGCCCCUAGGGCGUGGUGUUGGGGAUCGGCCAAAGCCCGCGAGGGACGGCCGGCCCCUAAAUCUAGUGGCGGACCCGUCGUGGCCUCCUCUGCGAAGUAGUGAUAUUCCGCAUCGGAGAGCGACGAGCCCCUGCCGUUAAACCCCCAACUUUCCAAGGUUGACCUCAGAUCAGGUAGGAAUACCCGCUGAACUUAAGCAUAUCAAUAAGCGGAGGA